AUGGGUAUGUGAGGCAGGGCUAUUGGCUUAGGCUGUGAAUUAUCCACCAUCUACUUCUGUGUUCUUUAAAAAUGUAUUUAUUUAUUUUGCUUGCAUCCAUGUAUAUGCAAUGUAUUAUUUUGGGGGGCUACAAAGAUCAGAAGAGGGCCCCCGGAUCCAUUGGAACUGGAAUUAUAGAUGUCCGUGAGACAUCCUGUAGGUGCAGGGAAUGAGCCUGGCCUCUCUGUGGGUGCUCUAACUCCUAAGCCAUCCCUCUGCUUCUCCCACUGUCUCUUGACAUAUGUGGGCUGCACCUGUGGUAUCCCAUCCCCUGUAGUGGUCAUAGUAAAAUAGUCCAUGUACAAAAACUUAAGCUUUUGCAAACCAGUGUCCCUCUGGGUUGUAAGUUGGUUCUCUGUAGACAUCCAUUCAGUCCAAAUCUUGAAGACUGCAUGAGGCAUAGUUAAUGAAUCCUAGCCCUGUACCUGUUCCCUGUGGGCGUUUGAUGUUUCCAGUCAGUACCUGAGGAAAGUCUGCAUGUGUAUUGUGCAGGCUGCCUGCCCUCUCUUAGCCCAGCUCUUGGCAGUGGCCAUGUAGAGUGGUCAAGAUAACUGUGUGAAGGAUUCUUACCCAGUUCCAGGUGGUCAGUCUUUCCUGCUUAUGGUGUGUUUGGCCAUAACUCCCAAGUUCAACCAAGAGGGAAACGGUAUUUCCUAUCCUGAGAAGUUCAGAGACGGGUUCUUUCUGAGGGGGAUUUUGUACCCGAGUUCUGAGCUCAGUUCUCUGUAAGUUGUUGGCUGUCUUCUCAUGGUCAUAAACAGCUACUCCAGGCAUUGCCUCAUACAGACAGCAUCCCAGAAAGGAGAAUCCAGCCCAAACCUUCAUAACAACAGCCAGCCACCUGUAAGGAACUUGAACUGUUCAUGGCCAGUUUAGACUAAAUUCCCUGCCCCAGCAGAUCCUGAACAACAACAACAACAACAAAUCCAAAAGCCCUGUUGUUACUGUUAGCUAGGGAGAAGGGACAAGGGAGGAAUGACUGUUAGCUCAGGUAAGCAAUAAGGCCUGACAGUAUAAUUAUUAAAUUAUUACUACCACUUUCACUGCUAACUCCUACUUCUUAUUCCUGCCCUUGGCAGGGCGUGGAAUUUGGGGUGGAUCAGUUCCUAGAAAACAGUGCUUCUUUGCUGGUUCAAACAGGUAACCAUGGUGUGGGGUCUGCUGGGGCUAAUUAACCUCUCCAGCUCUGCAUCUCUGGAUCCUGGUACUUACUCUGCAGCUCACCAGUGCCUCCCUGUGGUGAGUCCCUGCUAGCCGUGAAGGUUGGGCCUCCUCCAGUGCAGUGGCUGUAGCUUAGGCUUUGAACUUAAGAGCACUGUAGUGAGAUGUGUCCAGGCAAAGCAGCCUUCAGGAAACCAGAUACUCAGGAAGUAGUCUGCUCUUUUCCUACCAAACCAGCCUGGUCUAUUGAGGAACCCAUCCUUGGUUUCUCCCAGUGCCACUUUAGAGCUGUGUGUACCUGCCACCCAGCCUGCUCUGCUCUCAUGCCCAGUCCCAGCCCAACCGUGGUCUUGGGCAACAGCUCAGCGGCAGACUGCAGAGGUAAGGGUACACUGUGCGUUUGAGUCACACAUAGGUCAGCAGCGAAGUCUGGGUCACACAGUUAUGGAGACAUUUUGACCUCAGGUUGACAGACAAUAGGAGUGAGAUUGAGAGCAGAGGCCGAAGGCUGCUGUUUUAAUUUGCUGCUGUCUAGUACUUGGUUCCUUUAUAUGUGGCCUUUCUUUUUCUUAAUUUAAAUGUAUACACACAUUUUCAUCGGUUUACUGGUUCACAUAUGUGUGCAAGUACGUGUGCACACAUGCAUGUAUGUAUAUGUCCAGGUGUACAUGCAUAUGUGUGUAUGUGUGAAGGCUGAGGACAGCUUCAGGUGGCAUCUUCAUGAGUGCUGACUCUUUUGAGACAGGGUCUCUGAAUGGCCUUGGAUUCACCAGGUAGGGCAGAAUGAUUGACUUCCUGCCUCUGGCCCACUCAGGGAUUGCAUGGGGCCUGCCACUCCCUGGCAUUUUUACAUGGGUUCUAAGGAAUCAAACUCGGGGCUGUGUUUGCAGGUGAGUGCUUUAGUGACCUAGUCAUCGCCUCAGCUCCCCACUAGGCCUUUCUGCAUUGCCCUCCCUCCCUGGACCUCACAACAGAAUCUGCUAAAAUCCCAGUAAGGUGCACUAAACACUGGUUUUUGAAUAGUUUGCAUCAAACUUGAGAGGGCCUAUCCACACUCCUGGUUGGAUGGCCCUAGGAAAGAUAUAGGAGUUGUGGAUAGAGAUUGUAGGUUUUUGGGUUGCUUUUGCCAAGAGAAGAGUUCUAGACCACCUCAAAGCUGCAAAGCUCAGCUUCUGUUUCAUUAGCCAGGACGAGGCCACAACCUCAGAGCAGUGGGGAAGGGGCUCUUUUCAUGGUUGUUUUACAUAUCAUACUAUUAAUUGCAUGCUGUGGUCAAACAUUUGAUGAUUUUUCAAUGUCUGUUAUAACUUUUACAGAGGGUAAAAAAAUAAUUAAGAAAAUAAUUAGGGUAGUUUCGCUGUUAUUGAAGGAAGAGAUCAAGCAGGAGAGACUUCUAAAGACUCCCAGGCAGGCUCUGGCAUGGGUGUUAGUUGGUGAUGGCGUGGGUGACAGUCUUGUCACUGUUGUCAGUCACAAGAUGGAAGGCCACUCGCUGGUUUAGUAGAUGAGCUUGAGACAAUUUUCAUUGCCUAGUGUAAGUUCAGAGUCAUCCGCUGGGUCUUCGCUCUUACAGACAGAGUUCUGUUGAUGGAUAAGUUCGCUCCAAUUGGCUGUCAGACUCCUAAAUAAAGAACCAUCUACUGGAGCCUUGUAAAGGGAGCCCAUUGGAUUUCAGCAUCUGAUCGGCAAGUUCAAAAAGAAACUGAAUCCUGACGGUUCAUUUUUAUAGGACUCUCUAGGAAAGC
rnacentral:lncRNA from 1 species